AGGGGAGCUGUCACCUCUGCUAGUGGGGGGGGGGAGCACAGGGUCUGCCUUAUUCAAGUCUGCCGCUUACCUGUCCCUCCUGGACCCUCCAACUCUCCUUCCAUAGCUGAUUUUUUUCUCCGCAGAGUGGCUACACAGUCAGGACUCUCUGGUAACCUGAUCUACCUUCCCUUCCCAUGUUACAGAUGAGGAAAUAGAGACCUGGACCCGGAAAAACACCAGCCCCACCUCUAGAGAUCUGUGGUUGACAAGGCUGAAGACUGCACUCACCUGCCAGAAGAGUUGCCCUUCUACAUGGUGGCAAUAGCAGCAUCUCCUGGCUUCCAACCCCAGCCUCACACAACUUCCUUAAUUCUGCAGCUGCAUCUGGAAUUCUACCAUUUGGGUCCUGGUCUUUAUAGAACUUAGGGCUCAUAACAUUUGUUCCCUAGGAUACAGGCAUCAGAACUGGGGCUCUGCGAUCAUCAUCUUGAAAGUACAAGGUCAUCCCCCUGUGCACAAAAAAGGCUACAUAGGGGUGAGGAAGACCCUUGCGGUUCGUUCUGCCUGGCUCUCCCGGGCUGCCCCUCCUCUGCCCCAUCACAGCCAAGCUCAUUUGGUCUUGGCUGCCCUGGCUCUGCCCUCGGGGUUAUGGAACUGUCAGCUUGAUUUCCACAACCUUCCAUCAGCUGAGCGGGUGGCCAUCUCUCAAUCCUGAUCAGACUGGAUACCAUCAGCUUUGUAACAUCCGUUCCCUUGGGCCCCAGCAAGAAGCCACGAAGUGGGGAGAAGGUCUAAGGAUGCCUGGGCUCUUCGGCCACAGCUUCCUCGGCAACUUGGAAACGGCUCCAGAAACAAGCAGGAGCUUGUUUCAACUCCCGGAGGAAGACAGCCCAAUUCAGUACUGCCUUGUGGACGGGCGAGUUGGAGAAGACAGUGAGGACUUGCACUCAGAGAGCUCUGUGGAAACCUCGGAAGGAGCUCGGGGACUGGCCUAACUUCCCACUCUGAGGAUGGCUGACAGGCUCAAGAAAGGAAACUGACUUCUCCAAAUCCCCACGAUGUCAGUCCUAAGAAUCAACUGCUGUGUUUUACUGAUCACUAUGCAAGUAGCUGCUCAUGAAAUGACUGAAGGAAUGAGUGGUAAGCUAGUGGUUAGCUUACCUUCUCUCCCUAGUCAAGAGGGAAGACUACAGGUACUCCACCCACAGGAGGGGGUUGGAAUCAAGAUGGGAA
rnacentral:lncRNA from 1 species